AACGAACGCUGGCGGCAUGCCUAACACAUGCAAGUCGAACGAGACCUUCGGGUCUAGUGGCGCACGGGUGCGUAACGCGUGGGAACCUGCCCUUAGGUUCGGAAUAACUCCCCGAAAGGGGUGCUAAUACCGGAUAAUGUCUUCGGACCAAAGAUUUAUCGCCUCUGGAUGGGCCCGCGUUGCAUUAGCUAGUUGGUAGGGUAACAGCCUACCAAGGCAACGAUGCAUAGCUGAUCUGAGAGGGUGAUCAGCCACACUGGAACUGAGACACGGCCCAGACGCCUACGGGAGGCAGCAGUAGGGAAUCUUCAGCAAUGGGCGAAAGCCUGACGGAGCAACGCCGCGUGAGUGAUGAAGGUCUUCGGAUCGUAAAACUCUGUUAUUAGGGAAGAACAAAUGUGUAAGUAACUAUGCACGGCUUGACGGUACCUAAUCAGAAAGCCACGGCUAACUACGUG
rnacentral:rRNA from 1 species